UAAAAAAAUUUCUAUCUAUUUUUACCAUUAAAAACUGAAAUGAUUGACAAAAUAACCAAACAGUUACAUAUAGCAUGUCACAUGUAUCUCGUACUGAUAUAUAUGAACUAGUUUUUAAUAGUAGAAAUGGAUAAAACUUUUA
rfam:Gossypium raimondii Chr03_contig_184, whole genome shotgun sequence.